AAACUGUUUUUCUAAGUGGCUGUACCAUUUCAUAUUCCCAUCUGCGAUAUAUGACAGUUCCAAUUUCUCCACUUCUCGUGAGCACUGGUUAUUAUCUAUAUUUUUUGUUACAGCCAGCCUAGUGAGUAUGAAAUAAUAUCUUAUGGUGGAUUUGAUUUGCAUUUCCCAACUAUGGGCAAAUCCAAAUGGAGCAAAUCAACUUUUUAAUAUCCCAAAGGAAAUACCAGUACCGUGACCAGAUGAGCUUUCAUUAUCAACAAUUGUUUCCACUUAUCUUCAACUCACAGGUCAAAAUGUGUAUUUUGGAGUAUUUGGAGGAUAUUUUUAAAAAUGGAACAAAUAUUCAAGGUAGGAAAAUGUCAUUUAACUGUUG
rnacentral:lncRNA from 1 species